GCUUUCGAAGAGUCGAGUUGUUUGGGAAUGCAGCUCUAAGUGGGUGGUAAAUUCCAUCUAAAGCUAAAUAUUGGCGAGAGACCGAUAGCGAACAAGUACAGUGAUGGAAAGAUGAAAAGAACUUUGAAAAGAGAGUGAAAAAGUACGUGAAAUUGUUGAAAGGGAAGGGCUUUAAAUCAGACUUGGUAUUCAGUGAUCAGCAACCUCUUGGGGUUGUGCACUCGCUGUUUACUGGGCCAGCAUCGGUUUUGACGGUGGGAUAAUGGCAUUGGAAUGUGGCUCUCUUCGGGGAGUGUUUAUAGCCUUUGUUGAUACCACCAGUCGGGAUCGAGGACCGCGCAUUUUGCUAGGAUGCUGGCGUAAUGAUUUUAAGCCA
rnacentral:rRNA from 1 species